GUCCUUGGGCAAGAUACUGAACCCAGAAUUACACACUCAUAGAAAAAGUGCUGCCCCUAGAUGCAGUGUAUGAAUGUGUGAAUGGGUGAAUGGCAAUAAAUUGUACUGUAAAGCUCUUUGAGUGGUCAUCAAGACUAGAAAAGCUCUAUAUAAAUACAGACCAAUUACCAUUUCUGUCACAGCCCUCUUACUUAGGCUCCGGCCAUAAUGAACUGAUUACAGGGAAGGCCGUUUUGUUCUUGUGAAUGUGUCUGAGCAGAGAAUCUCCUGCUACGUUGUUUAUAUGUGGAAAACAAACUAGGGAAUGUCUUUGCACAUUCAAAGUGACAGUCUUGUGAAAACACCUCCUACUUUUCACCAUCGCUGUUGGUCGUUCGUAGUAUUAUAAGCAACCAAGUGCGGAGUAGACAAUCUACUUCCUGUUCACACUGACCUGGUGUCAUGAUAAACGUUUAUGUACCAGUCAGAUACAGGCUACUUAACUGUUGUUAGAUGUUUAAGAUAAAAGUACUUGUUUGACCUAUUAUUCUAUCAUUUUAUUCAUCUACAUUAUGUCAUUAGACCAUUUAUACUGAAGUAGCUGAGUAAGCAGCAAGUGAAGCUACAGUAAAAUACAUUAUAAACUGUUUUAUAAACAGAAAUGUUAGAUAUAUUGUGGGAGCUUGUUUCUCUUUGAUUUGUGGUGAGUUACUGGAUCAUUUAAGCUUCUGAGAACUUCAGAU
rnacentral:misc_RNA from 1 species